rnacentral:rRNA from 1 species
CUAACGAGGAUUUCCUUAGUAACGGCGAGUGAAAAGGAAAGAGCCCAGCGCUGAAUCCAUCUUGCUGCUAGUGAGAUGGAAAUGUAGCGUAUAGGUGGAACUAUCCGUCGAUUUCCUACACCCAAAGUCCCCUUGAGCGGGGCUACAGUCCAUAGAAGGUGCUAGACCUGUACGGGUGAGGAAAGCGUAUGCGGUAGGUUCUACCUUGGAGUCGGGUUGUUUGAGAUUGCAGCCCAAAGAGGGUGGUAAACCUCAUCUAAGGCUAAAUACGGCCACGAGACCGAUAGCAAACAAGUACCGUGAGGGAAAGUUGCAAAGAACUUUGAAGAGAGAGUUCAAGAGGGCGUGAAACCGCUGGGAUGGAAACGGAUAGAGUUAACGAAACUUGCCGAUAUUCAACCGAUCACCUCGGUAAUCCCGUGACUUUGCACCUUCGAGAGGCUGCGGUGAAAACCGUUCGCUAUCUCGGGAGGACAAAGACGCGGGCGAAAGGUGCCGUGUUGAUUGGUGUAUUUAUCGGUGGUAUGCACCGAGAGUCCCGUCUGCUGCGCGUAUUAGGCAUUCAUUCAGUGGACCCCGGCAAUAAUUGUCAGGGAAACCUGGAUGAGUGUGUGAAAAUAUAUGUCGUCGAUGGGAUUUUUGGAACCCGUGCAAGCACCGGUGGCUUCUGCCAUCCGGACGCAUCCGUUACCACUUGACCGGUGACAUUUUGUUGUGGUCGCGUGCGACCUACGCUGAAUGGAGCAUCGGUGCGUGUUGAAGUGGUAGCAGCAAGAUGCUGGGGUUUGCAUCUCGGUGUGAACGUUAAUCACCUAUCUGACCCGUCUUGAAACACGGACCAAGGAGU